GAAUCGCGCAAGGUUGAAANUUUAAAGGAAUUGGGGGGGGAGCNCUCACAACGGGGGGGAGCCNGCGGUUUAAUUGGAUUCAACGCCGGGAAGCUUCCCGGGGGAGACAGCGGGAUGAAAGGUCGGGCUGAAGACCCUNCCAGACUAGCUGAGAGGUGGUGCAUGGCCGCCGUCAGUUCGUACUGUGAAGCAUCCCUGUGAAGUCAGGCAACGAGCGAGACCCGCNCCCUCAGUUNCCAGCGGAUNGCUUUUGCGAUGCCGGGCACACUGGGGGGACUGCCGGCGCUAAGCCGGAGGAAGGUGCGGGCAACGGCAGGUCCGUAUGCCCCGAAUUCCCCCGGGCUACANNCGGGCUACAAUGGACGGGACAAUGGGUACNNACCCCGAAAGGGAUAGGUAAUCUCCUAAACCCGGUCUAACCUGGGAUCGAGGGCUGCAACUCGCCCUCGUGAACCUGGAAUCCGUAGUAAUCGCGCCUCAAAAUGGCGCGGGAAAA
rnacentral:rRNA from 1 species